CUAAGACGAGCCACACGAUUCUUGGAAUGAAAUAAUUGCAUUUCCAUUAAACUAAGUCUCAAUGUCAUAAUUAUUGCAUUUUACGCAAACUUAUUCUAUCCCCUAAUAUAUGCGUAAUAAUAUAUCCUAAGUUUAUUAAACUCUGUAACAAUCUCACAUCGACAUUAUCUCGAUUAGUUUGAAGCGAUUUGAAGUUUCGAACAGUUAUCAUUAGAGUGUGACAAUAAUGUGAAACGAAAGAAGCAGCAAGAGCUUCAUAGUGAGCUAUAAUAUUAACGAAUAUAUGAGACCUGUGAUUGUUGUAUAAAAGUGUUGUAUUUAUUCAGAGCGAAUUGUCGUAAAGGUUAUUUACUACGACGUUUAAGUACAGCUAUUUUUUUUAUAGUAAAAGAUGUGGAUUUACUCCCUGCUCGCUAUUUUCGCGACGUUUGAUUUUGCGACGGCUUCGUCAGGGUUUGAUUUCGGAGAUACCUUGGCACUGAUUCUCGGAUUGAUCAUCGGAAUUGUUGGAUUUUUUGCUUGCAUGGGUGCUUAUGCACGACGUCGAAACCUUUUGCAACCAUUAUGAUUGCAUGCCUCUCCGGAAUUCGUCACAUAGAUAUCUGACACAUUUAAAGUUAAGGAAGAAAAUGCUUCAAAUGACUGGAGUUGAGUAAUUUAAAGUUUUACAUUUUCAUAAAAAUUUCUUUGGAACUAAUAAACUUAAAUGAACUAAAUACUUUUAAGUCGAUUCAAAGAAUGCAUGAUUUUUUUAAUGUUUAUAGCUCAUCUUGCAAUAAACAUUUAAGAAAUUAUGCGAUUACUUGAAUCAUUUUAAAAGUAGUACAUUUAUUUUUUUCUGUAAUCAAUAUCUGAUAAUAAUAAGAGUAAUAUUUAUAGUUUUACAUUAUAUAUACAAGUUAUAAUAAGCUAUUUUUGUAUGCCAAUGAUAUUUAGUUGCAUUAGUAGCGCGAUAUAACACUUAAGUAAGGUAUAAAAUAGAAAAGAACUAAAAAGGAAAUGGAAGAUAAAGGUAUAAAUUGUAAAAACCAUAUGAUAUAAGAUUAUCAUGUGCAUUAAAUUAAUGUGAAGAAAAAUAUAAGUUCAAAAAAUAAAUGCUUAUAAAUAAAAUUCUUUAAUUGUUU